rnacentral:rRNA from 1 species
UGCAAGUCGAACGGUAACAGGGGAGCUUGCUCCCGCUGACGAGUGGCGAACGGGUGAGUAAUGCAUCGGAACGUGCCGAAUAGUGGGGGAUAACGCACCGAAAGGUGUGCUAAUACCGCAUACGCCCUGAGGGGGAAAGUGGGGGACCGCAAGGCCUCACGCUAAUCGAGCGGCCGAUGUCGGAUUAGCUAGUUGGUGGGGUAAAGGCUCACCAAGGCGACGAUCCGUAGCGGGUCUGAGAGGAUGAUCCGCCACACUGGGACUGAGACACGGCCCAGACUCCUACGGGAGGCAGCAGUGGGGAAUUUUGGACAAUGGGGGAAACCCUGAUCCAGCCAUGCCGCGUGUCUGAAGAAGGCCUUCGGGUUGUAAAGGACUUUUGUCCGGGAGGAAACCCUGAUCGUUAAUAGCGGUCGGGACUGACAGUACCGGAAGAAUAAGCACCGGCUAACUACGUGCCAGCAGCCGCGGUAAUACGUAGGGUGCAAGCGUUAAUCGGAAUUACUGGGCGUAAAGCGUGCGCAGGCGGUGAGAUAAGUCAGCUGUGAAAGCCCCGGGCUCAACCUGGGAACUGCGGCCGAAACUGUCUCGCUAGAGUACGUCAGAGGGGGGUGGAAUUCCACGUG